CACGCAUUCUCUAUCAGCCACCCAACGGCUUCGACAGAAUUUGGUUACAGCUGAUGCAAAGUUUACUUUUCCUGUCAUAGACAUUGGAGGUGCCGAGAUUGUUGGCGAAAUCCAGGACGCGUCAGGGACUUGGGAAUUUUUUCCAAGUGGUCAAUCAUGGGAAUCCUGCGAGUGUUGCUGGAUGGGGUACGUAGGUUUCAAAAAGGAUUUCUUCUGUCGGGAC
rnacentral:misc_RNA from 1 species